AUUGAACGCUGGCGGCAGGCUUAACACAUGCAAGUCGAGCGGUAGCACAAGAGAGCUUGCUCUCUGGGUGACGAGCGGCGGACGGGUGAGUAAUGUCUGGGAAACUGCCUGAUGGAGGGGGAUAACUACUGGAAACGGUAGCUAAUACCGCAUAACGUCGCAAGACCAAAGAGGGGGACCUUCGGGCCUCUUGCCAUCAGAUGUGCCCAGAUGGGAUUAGCUAGUAGGUGGGGUAAUGGCUCACCUAGGCGACGAUCCCUAGCUGGUCUGAGAGGAUGACCAGCCACACUGGAACUGAGACACGGUCCAGACUCCUACGGGAGGCAGCAGUGGGGAAUAUUGCACAAUGGGCGCAAGCCUGAUGCAGCCAUGCCGCGUGUGUGAAGAAGGCCUUCGGGUUGUAAAGCACUUUCAGCGAGGAGGAAGGUGGUGAACUUAAUACGUUCAUCAAUUGACGUUACUCGCUGAAGAAGCACCGGCUAACUCCGUG
rnacentral:rRNA from 1 species